rnacentral:rRNA from 1 species
AGAGUUUGAUUAUGGCUCAGGGUGAACGCUGGCGGCGUGCUUGACACAUGCAAGUCGAACGGUAUGUGGCAACACAUAGAGUGGCGAACGGGUGAGUAACACGUGGGAACGUACCCUACGCAGGGGGAUAACUGACCGAAAGGACAGCUAAUACCGCAUAAGACCGAAAGGUGAAAGGUGCAACUGCACCGGCGAAGGAGCGGCCCGCGGACCAUCAGCUAGUUGGUGGGGUAAGAGCCUACCAAGGCAACGACGGAUAGCCGGCGUGAGAGCGUGGCCGGCCACAAGGACACUGAGAUACGGGUCCUACUCCUACGGGAGGCAGCAGUGCGGAAUUUUAGAUAAUGGAGGCAACUCUGAUCUAGCGACGCCGCGUGCAGGAAGAAGGUCUUCGGAUUGUAAACUGCUGUGGUAAGGGAAAAAUGCCAUGUAGAGUGGAAAGCUACAUGGAGGGAUGGUACCUUACUAGAAAGCCCCGGCUAGCUACGUGCCAGCAGCCGCGGUAAUACGUAGGGGGCGAGCGUUACCCGGAAUCACUGGGCGUAAAGGGAGCGUAGGUGGCCUGACAUGUCAACUGUGAAAACCCGGAGCUCAACUCCGGACUUGCAGUUGAAACUGCCAGGCUUGAGGACGGUAGAGGAAGACGGAACUGCCAGUGUAGGGGUAAAAUCCUUAGAUAUUGGCAGGAACGCCGGUGACGAAGGUGGUUUUCUGGGCCGGUUCUGACACUGAUGCUCGAAAGCCAGGGGAGCGAACGGGAUUAGAUACCCUGGUAGUC